AGCCGCUGGAUCAGGAACUGCAGCGGGCCCGGGAGCAGAAGCGGCGGCGGCACGACGCCCAGCAGCUGCAGCAGCUCAAGCGCCUGGAGUCCUUUUAUGAAAAACCUCCUCCUGGGCUUAUCAAGGUUGGCAUUGCAAAUGGUAUGGUCACCGAACAGGCUACAAAGAAUGCCCUUUCUUUAUCAAAGACAACCAAAAGUUACAACAGUUCAGAGUAGCACAUGAGGAUUUCAUGUAUGACAUCAUACGAGACAAUAAACAACAUGAAAAGAAUGUAAGGAUACAGCAGUUAAAACAGUUACUGGAGGAUUCUACCUCAGGUGAAGAUAGGAGCAGCUCCAGUUCCUCUGAAGGAAAAAACGGAAGCACAAAUCUUCCAAGUCAAAUGAGGGUUCUGACUCAGAGUGACAAGGAUGUGACUUGUUCAACAUUCUCUUCUCAAACACUGACCAAGGAACAGAGGAAGAUGCAGUCAGAGAAAGUAGCAGGAUAGAGACGCCGAGAGAGGAGUAUAUGUGGGUCACAGCAGUGAGCUCCCACCCGCCUUGCAGUGAAGAUGUGACCCCAGGAGAGGGAGUGUCUCCUUCCAGGUGCUAGCUCUGGACAGCAGCUGAUUUUAGGCAGGAAAGUUUCUUCAUCGUUGUCCUCCCUGCUGGUCACAUGAGUUUACGAUUCCUUAGAAGUGUCUCCCACAGGGUGGCAGGACUGGGAGAAUCUCUGAGGCGUGUCUUCCAGGCCCUCCCACAGCUUGUGCCCUCCACAGUGUAGACUUGAACACUUGGCCUCAUGUGAUCCUUCCACCUUGGCCUCCCAAAGCAUUGGGAUUACAGGCGAGAGCCACUGGUUGGCUAAAAUAUUUAUAUUUACCUGACAUGAUUUGUUGAUUUGGGGGCUAGGGAGUUCUUAAAACAACAAUAAAAAAUCUUCUGUGGCUGC
rnacentral:lncRNA from 10 species